rnacentral:rRNA from 1 species
CCUACGGGAGGCAGCAGUGGGGAAUCUUGUGCAAUGGGCGAAAGCCUGACACAGCCACGCCGCGUGCGGGGAGAAGGCCUUCGGGUUGUAAACCGCUUUCAGCAGGAACGAAAAUGACGGUACCUGCAGAAGAAGAUGCGGCCAACUACGUGCCAGCAGCCGCGGUGAUACGUAGGCAUCAAGCGUUGUCCGGAUUUAUUGGGCGUAAAGAGCUCGUAGGCGGUUCAGCAAGUCGGGUGUGAAAAUUCUGGGCUCAACCCAGAGACGCCACCCGAUACUGCUUAACUUGAGUUCGAUAGGGGAGUGGGGAAUUCCUAGUGUAGCGGUGAAAUGCGCAGAUAUUAGGAGGAACACCGGUGGCGAAGGCGCCACUCUGGAUCGACACUGACGCUGAGGAACGAAAGCAUGGGCAGCAAACAGGAUUAGAUACCCUGGUAGUCCAUGCGGUAAACGGUGGGCACUAGGUGUGGGUUUCUAUUAACGAAAUCCGCGCCGUCGCUAACGCAUUAAGUGCCCCGCCUGGGGAGUACGGUCGCAAGACUAAAACUCAAAGGAAUUGACGG